rnacentral:misc_RNA from 1 species
GUAUCCCACGCGAGCCAGACGCCCCAGCCCGGCGCGGAAGGCCUCCCUGGACUCUUUAAACCCCCUGGCGGCGCGCUUGCGGAAAACCCUGAAGCGCGCGCCGCGGGAGCCCAACCUCUUGAUGUCCCGGAGAUCUGUGAACUUGAGGAAGUGCACGGCUCCGGACUCGUCGAGGGGCUGCUGCGCGAUAACCUCCAGGUCCAGCUUCCCCUGAGGCACGGCGCAGACGGCCUCCUCGCCAGGCCGCUGGACCCACAGGCUAGAGGCCCGCACGUAAGGCUCGACGUCCAUGGGGUAGAACUUGGCAC